UACGUAGGUGGCGAGCGUUGUCCGGAUUUACUGGGCGUAAAGGGCGUGCAGGCGGUUUGUUAAGUGCAGGGUGAAAGCUCCCGGCUCAACUGGGAGAGGUCCUUGCAUACUGGCGAACUCGAGGGAGGCAGAGGAAAGUGGAAUUCCCGGUGUAGUGGUGAUAUGCGCAGAUAUCAGGAAGAACACCCGUGGCGAAGGCGGCUCUCUGGGACGGUACUGACGCUGAGACGCGAAAGCGUGGGGAGCGAACAGG
rnacentral:rRNA from 1 species